rnacentral:rRNA from 1 species
AGGAUGAACGCUAGCGGCAGGCCUAAUACAUGCAAGUCGAACGAGAUCGAAGAGCUUGCUUUUCAUGAAAGUGGCGCACGGGUGCGUAACGCGUAUGCAACCUACCUUAAUCGAGGGGGGAUAGCCUCUCGAAAGAGAGAUUAACACCGCAAUAAAAUCACAAGCUGGCAUCAGCAAAUGAUACAAAUAUUUAUAGAUUAAGAUGGGCAUGCGUGACUAUUUAGUUUGUUGGUGGUAGGUAACGGCCUACGAACCAAGACUACGAUGUACGUAGGGAUCGUGAGGAG